GACGAACGCUGGCGGCGUGCUUAACACAUGCAAGUCGAACGGAAAGGCCCUGCUUUUGUGGGGUGCUCGAGUGGCGAAAGGGUGAGUAACACGUGAGUAACCUGCCCUUGACUUUGGGAUAACUUCAGGAAACUGGGGCUAAUACCGGAUAGGAGCUCCUGCUGCAUGGUGGGGGUUGGAAAGUUUCGGCGGUUGGGGAUGGACUCGCGGCUUAUCAGCUUGUUGGUGGGGUAGUGGCUUACCAAGGCUUUGACGGGUAGCCGGCCUGAGAGGGUGACCGGCCACAUUGGGACUGAGCUAGGGCCCAGACUCCUACGGGAGGCAGCGGUGGGGAAUAUUGCACAAUGGGCGGAGGCCUGAUGCAACGACGCCGCGUGCGGGAUGACGGCCUUCGGGUUGUAAACAGCUUUCGCCUGUAAAGAAGCGUGAGUGACGGUAAUGGGUAAAGAAGCACCGGCUAACUACGUG
rnacentral:rRNA from 1 species